rnacentral:rRNA from 1 species
AAUUUUGGACAAUGGGCGCAAGCCUGAUCCAGCCAUGCCGCGUGAGUGAAGAAGGCCUUCGGGUUGGAAAGCUCUUUCGGACGGAGAGAAAUCGCGCAGGCUAAUACCCUGCGCGGAUGACGGUACCGUCUUAAGAAGCACCAGCUAACUACUAGCCAGCAGCCGCAGUAAUACGUAGGGUGCGAGCGUUAAUCUGAAUUAGUGGGCGUAAAGCGUGCGCAGGCGGUUGAUUAAGACAGGCGUGAAAUCCCCGGGCUUAACCUGGGAAAUGCGCUUGUGACUGGUUAGCUAGAGUACGGCAGAGGGGGGUGGAAAUCCACGUGUAGCAGUGAAAUGCGUAGAGAUGUGGAGGAACACCGAUGGCGAAGGCAGCCCCCUGGGCCGAUACUUACGCUCAUGCACGAAAGCGUGGGUAGCAAACAGG